ACUGUGAUGGGGGGAGGGGAGAGGAGGGGGAGAAGACACGAAGGAAAAAGCACUGUGGCCAGUCGGUGGUUUUCUAAGACCCCGACCCCGAAUUUCUCAGCCAUUAGGGCUGUCGCAAGUUGUGUUCUGCAGGCGAGGCCAACGCUAUGAUCUCGGGGCGUGGCGGGCUGGGGUCCAGCGAGGCAGCCGCACACGCCGGCCACGCUCCGCACCUCAGGACGCCCGCACGGCUUGGGCUCGGCUGGCUCCGCGGCCUCGACCUCCACGACAGGAGCCGAGGCCCAGGCAGGAAAGGCCCACGACGCCCGGGCCCAGCCGCAGCAGCAGCAGAAAGCACGAGGACUCAACCGCCCGACUCGGAGGGCUGGCAGUGCCCGCGCACCGAGACUCCGCUCCAGAGCCCGGGGCUCCGUGGUUUUCACCUGAGACGCCCUCCACAGCCCACGCACACUCAGAGAAGGGAGGACGCCUUCUCAGAAAAGGGGCUACCACGCAGGUCUCUGCAAAAAGAGGGCCACCUUGAAAGCUUCUAGUUCCCUCCGAUUCUUCCAAGAACCCUCAAUAACGUCGUCAGAUUAAAUGGAAAGAAAAAUCAAAGGAAGGUUGUAGGAGCUGCAGAAGAAAGCACCACACUGAAAGUGACUCUCAAGUACACCAGGAAUCAUUUGUCUUGUGUAUCAAAGCUGCCAUGGUCUUAGAAGCAGUCACUUAGGAUUUCAAUGAAUAUGCUGAAUGUAUCAUCUGUAAUUUGAAUACAGAGCCUCUACACAAUACAUAUCACAGGAACUUAGAAGAUUCCAGCCCAAGGCCAGCUGUGAAGCAGCGGAUAGGCACUGUGCACUCCUAGUAUGCCUCUUGUCCAUUCAACAAGCUGCUCCCUGUGAAUCACUCUGCAGAUUUGGCUCUGCUCAACUUCCAGCUCCUCCUCAGCAUUUAAAUGACUAUGGGAGGGGAACAUUCUGGAUGGAUUCAGGACACCGAGGCUGCCACGACCCUGCUGCUACUCCUGCUCUUCUGCCUGCAGGUGCUGCAGGUCAGGAGGUCGUGCCCUGUCGUGGUUCCUGCCCUGAACACCCACUGAUUCUCUGCUCCUCCAGUCUAAGUAGGGGGACAUACAGUCCAGUUAUGUCUGUCAGACCAAUGGUGCCAGCUUAAGUGCAGUGACAUUUCUCCAGCCCAGGAUGAAAGCUGAGGACCAGGACUGUAUUCUGCACGUCACUCGCGACUGGCAGAUUUAUGCUCGGAUGCAUCUCUUCCACACUCCAGCAGCUCCUCCAGCACAAGAGCAAGACUUCCUGGAACUCUUUCGGCUACCCCUAGUGACUGGCUCUCCCCAACAGUGGUGCGUAAGGAAGGCAGUGAUGGCAUACGUCCAUCCCACAGGUGCAGGCAUGCCCGCUGUUGCUGAGGGGAGGUUGCUGAAGAUACUGCACUUUGCUUAGAUCUGUGGGCUACUGAUGAAACCCAUUAGGGCUCUCUCUCAUGUAAUGUAUUAUAAUUAACACACUCAACAAUAAAAAGGCGAAACAUUCUGACA